AACGCGAAGAACCUUACCUACCCUUGACAUGGUUGGAAUCUUUGAGAGAUCAGAGAGUGCUCGCAAGAGAACCAAUACACAGGUGCUGCAUGGCUGUCGUCAGCUCGUGUCGUGAGAUGUUGGGUUAAGUCCCGCAACGAGCGCAACCCUUGUCAUUAAUUGCCAUCAUUAAGUUGGGCACUUUAAUGAGACUGCCGGUGACAAACCGGAGGAAGGUGGGGAUGACGUCAAGUCCUCAUGGCCCUUAUGGGUAGGGCUUCACACGUCAUACAAUGGUACAUACAGAGGGUUGCCAAGCCGCGAGGUGGAGCUAAUCCCAGAAAGUGUAUCGUAGUCCGGAUUGGAGUCUGCAACUCGACUCCAUGAAGUUGGAAUCGCUAGUAAUCGCGGAUCAGCAUGUCGCGGUGAAUACGUUCCCGGGCCUUGUA
rnacentral:rRNA from 1 species